rnacentral:lncRNA from 10 species
AGUAGCCAGUGCAGCUAUUCAGGACUCAGCCAUGUCUCCAGAGUCCAAACUCUCAAACACUGGGCUCCACCACCUCCUUUUUCCCUUUUUCCAACUCAUUCAAAUAACCCUCCCCCUCUAGAAAGCUUUGGCCACUCAUUUGUGUUCCUAAUAUACCCUUUGAAUAUUCUGUGGUGUAUAGCAGAGUGCUACACUCAUAUAGAUAGUCCCUUACCUUCAGAUAAGACUUCUAAUUAUUAUGAAAUAAUCUCCAUCUUUGUUUCAAUUGUAUUAACAAUUGAGAAUAGACCUGUGCUAGUGACAUAAUUUUCCCAUUUCCUACUUGUAUUGGGGACUGCCAAGACCAUCCCCAGGGUCAAUAAUUAGCGAGGAAGACUUACAGAACUCAGCACAGAGUCCUAGUCAGGGCUAAGAGUUAUUAUAGCAAAAGGAUACAAAGCAAAAUCAGCAAAAGGAAAAGGUGCAUGGGGCAAAAUCUGGAUGAAACGAGACAUAAGCUUCCAAGAGUCCUCUCCCAUCGGAGUCACACAGGAUGCGAUAAAUUCCUGCAGCAACAAGUUCUGACAACAGGUAUGAAAUGUUGUUCACCAGGGAAGCUCAUUAGAGAUUCAGUGCCCAGUGCUUUUACUGGGGGCUGAUUACACAGGCACUCUCUGCCUAGCAUGUAAUAAAAUUCCAGACUGGGGAUUCCUUUCCUUAUUCCUUUUGGGAAUCAUGAAAGCAGGUGUCCAGCAUGAACCACAUUGCUUGUACAAACAGUUUAAGCACAGUGAGCCCUCUUAUCACUUCUGGGGAUAAUGAAAACCCUCCUGUGAUGGUUAAUUUUAUGUAUUCACUUGGAGGGGGGUUUGGGAUGAGAUUAACAUUUAAAUCAGUGAAUUUUGAAUAAGGAGACUGCCCUCCAAUAUGUGGAUUGGCCUCCUUCAAUCAGUUGAAGGCCUGAAUAGAACAAAAAUACUGGCAUCCCGGAACAAAAGAGAAUUCUUAGCAGGCCACCUGUGGACUGAAUUGGCUCUCCUGGGUCUCUACCUGCCAGUCUUUAUUUUUAUUUUUUAUUUUUUAUUUUAUUCAUUUAUUUAUUUCUUGACACAGUCUCACUCUGUUGCCCAGCCUGGAGUACAGUGGUGUGAUCCCGGCUCACUGCAACCUCUGCCUCCCAGUUUCAAGCAAUUCUCAUGCCUCAGCCUCCCGAGUAGCUGGGACUAUAGGCGUGAACCACCAUGCCCAGAUAGUUUUUGUAUUUUUAGUAGAGAUGGGAUUUCACCAUGCUGGCCAGGCUGGCCUUGAACUCCUGGCCUCAAGCGAUCUGCCCACCUCGGCCUCCCAAAGUGCUGGGAUUACAGACAUGAGCCACCACAUCUGACCACCCCAGCCUUUACACUGGAAAUGCACUAUCUACUCUUCUAGAUCUCAAGCCUGUCAGCCCAC